rnacentral:lncRNA from 1 species
CUUCUUCGGCGCGCUGGCCGACGCGCCCAAGCCCUUCGCCUCGUCCGCGGCAGCCGUGCCCAAGGCGGCCGACGACGACGGGAGUAACGAGGCCGAGGCGGCGUCGUGGCUCCUCCCGGAGCCCGACCUCGGCCCCAAGGAAGAAAGCGCCACGACGGAGGUGUUCUUCGCGGACUCCGAUCCGUACCUCGACCUCGACUUCGCGCGCUCCAUGGACGACAUCAAGGCCAUCGGCGUCCAGAACGGCCCGGCCGAGCUCGACCUCACCGGCGCCAAGCUCUUCUACUCCGACCACUCGAUGAACCACAGCGUAAGCUAGCCUAGCAUCCCCGAACACUGUCGGCGCCGUAGCAGCACGUACCAGUUCAAGUCCCAUGACGAACCUAUUCAU